AUGAGCUGCCAACAAAAACAUAAAAUCUAAUUUCAAAAUUCAAAUCCACCUCCAUCUUUCCCUUUCUUCUCUCUCUCUCAACCCUGAAUGCAAGCAGCGUCCAUCGUAUGGAUCUAGAAACCCUAACUCUGAACAAAACCAGAAGAACAUCGAAGCGAUGGAGUCAAGUAUCGGAUCUAGAAAAUGCAAGCAACGUCCAUUGUAAUCCGAUCUACUUCCACCGUCACAGAUCCGGUUUCCAGUGACAGUGUUUCUAGGGUUUGUUGGUUAGGGACAAAAGUCAUGGCUGGUUCUCCUUAAUCUACCCUUGAUGGAUGCAAAAAUGGGUCAAACAGAAGAAGCCCUAGACCUACAUCUUUACACCGCCGCUGAAGAACUUUUUCGGAGAAGAAUGGUUGAAGAAUCUGUCGACGGCUCUGAUCUUGCUGGAUCUGAGAAAGUAUUGUACGGUCGUUUACUGGAUCACUUACUGUUGUAUCUACAAACAAAUUGUUGUUUGUUUGUAGAUAUAAAGUUGUUUACUGGAUCACUUACUGUAUAAAGUUGUUUACUGGAUCACUUACUGUAUAAAGUUGUUUACUGGAUCAAUUGCAAAUGAAUGAUCGAUUCAAGGUUCACUGAUUUAAGUAAGGUAUAGCGAUCAUGAGUGACGAUUCUGUUAUGAAUCCAGAGCUUGUAAUCAAUCACAAAUUUCUGCAAGUCGAUAUCGAUUCACAGCCGAACCAAAACUUUUACCAGAGUGGAGUUUCAGGGGAACAACAACAACCAUCCACUACUGUUCUGAUGAUUUCAAGAUGAGAGUUGUGUUGCAGACCCGAUCAACGACAGAUUCAGCAGCAGCAGUUGUUGAUGCAGUCCGCUAGGGUUUCGUACAACAAUGGCGAUCAUCAGCGUGAUAAUCCGUAUGGAUUGUCAACAAAGAUUGUUUCGCCUUCGUAUGGAUUGUCUAUGGAGUCACAUUAAGGUUUGAAUUCGGAUUUUUUUAAUGAUAGUUGUUUGUAUUUGAUCAAAAUUGUUUGUAUAUGAUGAUGUUUAGGGUUAGAUUAGUUUUGAGUGUGUUUUUGGGGUUUGGGAACUAUUGAAUAUAGUUCAUCAAGAUCAGUAGAAUCCAACUAUUCCGACCGCCGGAAGUACGCCGUAUAAAAUCCAAUAAUAUCCCACGGCAAGGGGUUCACCAUGGGCUCAUUGGAAUCAACUCUUAUAAAUUCACAGUAAAGAAUAGCGAAGAUGGAAUCACCGGCGGGCACCAGAACGGUACGGUAAGCAGGCUGAAAAGCUGUAGUGUCUCGGUGCUUGCGUUUCAUUGAAUAAUAAAAGCGCCUAUCAGCCUUCUCCGAACCCAAUUCCGACAUCGAUUUCGAUCCGACAGGUACGCAAUUCUGAUUUUGGUUUGUCUCUUCGUUGUCGAAUGAGCAUGUAGACUCUUACGUUCUAUCCGAGUCGAGUCUGUUUGUGUUCCCUUACAAAGUCAUUAUCAAAACUUGUGGAACCACUAAACUGCUGCUAUCAAUACCGGCUAUUCUCUUAUUAACCAAACCUUGGAUUGAACCAUAUUUAAAAGCCAUGUUAGACAUGUCAAGUGAUAUUAGUCGCCUCCUUAAUAAGAGAAUGAUUUGAUUGGAAAUAGCAUCUCCUGUUCACGGAAAUUGUAUUGGCAUACGUCAUGACCUUAACUUUGAAUUAUUUUGUAAAGCUUUGAUGAUUUAAAGAUUCUGAGUUUGUUUGAUGUAUCAGAUUGGAUCCUUCUAUGCUGUAUAAAAUGCAUUGUCACCAAAAAAGGUCAAUUAUAGAUCACCAGCAACAACAAACAUGUACUACUUUUUAAUUUAAUUGUUUUUGCGUAAAUAUUUUAGGACAAUCUGGUAAGUUCUUUACUUUAAAUUCAUCUUAUGUAGGUGUAUGUUAGAUGCAGCUUAUCCAAACUAUUCUAAUGCAAUUUUAUUGCUAACUUAUCCCACAAAAAUUUUCACUUUGUGAGUUAUCUACUAACUAAUAUAUGUAAAUAUCAUUGUCUCUGGUUUGGUUUAGGGGGAGGCAUGGCACGCAGACCAUGGCCGGCUCAACCAUUUUGGUGGCCUUAAGCGAAGUACAAAAGUGAGGCCUUAAAAAAAAAAAAAACUAGUUGUAUCGUUAAGAAUGAAAAACAUACCUUGAUAAAAGUCUAUUUGAUAAAAACCCUCCUCCUUUAUCCGGGCUUGGGACCGGCAAAAUAAACUAAAUAGUUUAUAGUUGGCG
rnacentral:lncRNA from 1 species